rnacentral:rRNA from 1 species
AGAAUCAACGCUGGCGGCGUGCCUCAGACAUGCAAGUCGAACGCGAAAGUCCCCUUCGGGGGACAAGUAGAGUGGCGCACGGGUGAGUAACACGUAGGUAAUCUACCUUCGGGUGGGGAAUAACAACCGGAAACGGUUGCUAAUACCGCAUAAUGCAGCGGCACCUAAUGGUGACAGUUGUUAAAGCGGGGGAUCGCAAGAUCUCGACGCCUGAAGAGGAGCCUGCGGCGGAUUAGCUUGUGGUAGGGUAACGGCCUACCGAAGGCGACGAUCCGUA